AGCAAGAUUCGCCACCCCCUUCGAAGAAAGUUGGCAGAGGACAAAAAGCUCCUUCUUGAGGAGAUUUAUAAAUAUAACAGUGUUGUUGAGUCCACCAAAGCUAUUGAUUUUGCUAAGGUGGAGCAGUCCCUGACUGGAGAGAGCAACCCAAUGUGACCGUGGGAGGUUCAUGUCAGUGCAAAACUUGCAGUCAAGAAAAAGAUGCAUGAUCAAGUCUUGUUAAUGUUGCGACUACAAGAAGAAAAGAGCAUUUUGGUGUUGGAGAUGGUGCGACACUGCACAUGGUUGCAGAACCUUGUAGUUGUUCUUAAGAAGAAAGUUGCUGAAGAGG